GCAUUUUGUCCCCGGGUGGCGGAGCUGCCUCCGGAACAGGGAUGAGUCACUUGGCGACCCGGGGCCGCCGGGGACGGGAACAGGCUGUGACGCCAGCCUCGGUGACUCCAGACCUGGCGCCGAGCGGCAAUGAGAGUUCCGAGGACUUUUCUCGUCGAGAGCAGCUACAAAAUUGACGGAUAGGAUGGACUUUAACUCCGUCAGAGGAAACUUUAAAACAAACAAACCAACCAACCAAACCAAACAAGCCAGGAGCUGCAGGGCAAGGGGCACGGGACCAUGGUGAUGCUUCUGUCCAGCUGCAUCCUUCCAGGUCCCAUGGGUGACAUUAUGGAGACCAGACACCGUUCUCAUGUCUACGACAAGGCUGGGAGAAACCAAGGGAUGUUGCAUGAACUCUUCCCUCAUCC